GACGUAGGGCGCGAGCGUUGUCCGGAUUUAUUGGGCGUAAAGAACUCGUAGGCGGCUUGUUGCGUCAGCUGUGAAAACCCGCAGCUCAACUGUGGGCUUGCAGCUGAUACGGGCAGGCUUGAGUUCGGUAGGGGAGACUGGAAUUCCUGGUGUAGCGGUGAAAUGCGCAGAUAUCAGGAAGAACACCCGUGGCGAAGGCGGCUCUCUGGGACGGUACUGACGCUGAGACGCGAAAGCGUGGGGAGCGAACAGG
rnacentral:rRNA from 1 species